GAAACAUGACUACUCAGAUUUUAAAAAACAGGCUUUACCUUCCAUAGUUCAAUUUAUGUUAGUACAAAUUCUUCUCAAAGGUGGUCUCCUUGAGAAGGUGCACAGGCUACUGGAAAUAGUGAAGACAGUAAUAAGAAGAUUAACUGGCUUACUUACCAAGAAAAUGAAUUCAGGAAAUUUGAUUCUAGUAGAGAACUAGAACAAGCAAACAGGAUGAGCAACCACUUAUUGGAAUAGUGUAUUUAAAUUAGAGAAAGAGUGAUUUUUUUUUUUUUUUUCUCCCAAGGGUUAAGAAUAUGAUGAAAAGCCUGGAGCUGAAAGAAGGACAAUAUGUAUGGGAGACAGUGAGGACACUUACCUGACCAGAGAAGGCGAACAGCUGCGCAGAUAUUCAGAAUGAUAUCUGAGAUCCACUGAGCUAAGAAAAUACCAUAAUUACUCAGGUAUAACAUAAUGAAAACCUGCGAAAGGAGAAGAAAGAAUAAGAGAAGGAAGGGAGAUGAUAGAAGAAUGACAGCCCAUGGCAACAGAUUGAAUAUAGAAGGAGAAUGUGAGCUUCAUGAGAACAUCUGCUGUAUCUGGAAUACGGUCAGCAUCGGCGUGAGUUAGAAUUGCUUUUUGGUUCUGGGAUACAGAAAAUACA